AUGCCCACACAAUGUCAUGUGAAGUCAGUGAGUGAUGUGUACGGCCUGGGUGUGUUGAUGCUCGAGGUUCGGAUAGGGAAAAGGGCGUUUUCCCAAGCAGAGGAGGAGAUGAAUAGAUAUCUGGCAUCCUUUGCACUCCCCAUCAUUGAGGCCGGUAAUAUUGAGGAGAUGCUUGAUAGACGACCUGUACCGGAGCCAACGCCAUGGCAGCUGCACGCAUUGAAGCAUGUGGCGCACAUUGGACGAUGUUGCGUGAAGUUUGCCGAGAAGGACCAGCCCACCAUAUCAGAAAUCAUUGCCAACCUCGAGACUGCGUGCGAUUUGAUCUGCAGAGAUGAGCCAGAUUCAGUUGACAAGUCUGGUUUGUGUCCCUUCCUUCAAAAAGUUGACGACUCACCGGACUAUCCACAUGCGAGGAACGUGCCUUCAGCAUGCUACUAUUCUGAUCUGGAACCUGAGGUGUUGGAGGAUGGGCCUUGA
rnacentral:rRNA from 1 species